GAGGAACCGCCGGUUCGCAUAAUUGGUAAAGCGCUCGGCUGAAAAGCCGGCGGUGCAGAGCUACCAUGUGUUGGAUCAAGACU
rnacentral:rRNA from 13 species